GGGUCUAUGAUGACAAUCCAAUAUCAUGAAGAGAGGUGAUGACAUAAAUAUCAUGCUCAAAGAUUACGCUCUGGCCC